rnacentral:rRNA from 1 species
GAUGAACGCUGGCGGCGUGCCUAAUACAUGCAAGUCGAGCGAACAGACGAGGAUCUUGCUCCUCUGACGUUAGCGGCGGACGGGUGAGUAACACGUGGAUAACCUACCUAUAAGACUUGGAUAACUUCGGGAAACCGUCGCUACUACCGGAUAAUAUAUUGAACCGCAUGGUUCAAUAGUGAAAGUCGGUUUUGCUGUCCCUUAUAGAUUGUUCCGCGCCGCAUUAGCUAGUUGGUAAGGUAACGGCUUACCAAGGCAACGAUGCGUAGCCGACCUGAGAGGGUGAUCGGCCACACUGGAACUGAGACACGGUCCAGACUCCUACGGGAGGCAGCAGUAGGGAAUCUUCCGCAAUGGGCGAAAGCAUGACGGAGCAACGCCGCGGGAGUGAUGAAGGUCUUCGGAUCGUAAAACUCUGUUAUGAGGGAAGAACAAAUGUGUAAGUAAAUAUGCACGUAGUGACGGUACCGAAUAAGAAAGCCACGGCUAACUACGUG